AUGGAUUUAUGCAUGAUGUAUCCAGAAUCCUGUCAGUGUCCCCCUCUAUGCAAAGUGAACUUCCUCACAGUCUGCUAUAAAGACUUGAUAUCAUGCUGUCAGCUGCAGCAGAAGAAGAGAAGCUCCAUCAGGUCACCUUCAACACCAACCAUGUUCUCUGUAGCUCUGCUGCUGCUGCUGGCUGCUGGAUCCUGUGUGAAGUGUGAGCAGUUGAUACAGCCAGCCUCUGUGACUGUGCAGCCAGGUCAACGUCUGACCAUCACCUGUCAGGUCUCUUAUUCUCUUGGCUCCUGGACAGCCUGGAUCAGACAGCCUGCAGGGAAAGGACUGGAGUGGAUAGGAAUGAAAGACACUGGAACUACAUACUUUAAAGAUUCACUGAAGAGCAAGUUCAGUAUCGACUUAGACUCUUCCAGCAAAACAGUGACUCUGAACGGACAGAGCGUGCAGCCUGGAGACUCUGCUGUGUAUUACUGUGCCAGAGACACACUGUGACACACACCAUCAGUAGAGC